rnacentral:ncRNA from 1 species
AUCAAUGAAUAAGGGCGCCCUAACCGCCAGGUGAAGGCUGAGAAAUACCCGUAUUACCUGAACUGGAUCAUGCUAGCGUAGGGAAGUCACAGUAUCCAUUC